GUGUUUUUAUCCCACUUUCACAUUUAAAUAAUAAUGAUAUCUUAGAAAGUCCUCUGUGAAAAUUAUUGGUCCUCUGCACUUUAUAAAUAUGACUUCUCCGUGUAUCCAGCACUGCCCUUGAGAAGAACGAUGUGAAGCUCAUCUUCAGGUUGCUCUGGAACGUUCCAGAACUUUCAUCUCUGUGGCACUAUGAUAGGAAGAAUCUAGCUUCUUCCUUUUCAUCCUUUUUGGCCCCUGAGAGCUUUUUCUCGUUUCUUUCCUCCUAAGGACCAGGAAUCUCCAUGCUCCAGGGGACUUCUGCCUUCCAGACAUGUUCUUUCUCAUCCUCACCUCCUUGGUAACCACACGUCUGAGCGAAGAGAGAAGCGUGAUUCAGAGCACCCAGCCCCGCACCCCAGAACCACACAUCUGAGCGAAGAGAGAAAGCGUGAUUCAGAGCACCCAGCCCCGCACCCCCUGCAGGUGCUCCUGCCACGUCUUCAA